rnacentral:lncRNA from 1 species
UUUUGUCGCAGAAAGCUCGACAUAGGGAUAGUGAUCCGGCGGCGGCUACGGCGGCGGCAACGGCGGCGGCUACGGCGGCGGCGUUAGCUAACUUCUUAAAAGCUUUAUAUUUUAGAAGGUAGAAGACCUGGAUGCUUCAUUCUUUGUAUAUGGAUGCCUCAUGUUACGAACUUUCCGUCAGUCACAUGUCCAAUAUCCUUGACCUCAUUUUCAUGGUUCAGUGACUACUUGAAAAAAAAGUUAAUAUUUUUUGUAAUGUUAAAUUCUCUCUUAUUAUAAGUAAUUGGAUAACUAUAUUUGGUAUGUGCGUACCUUGUAAGGUCCUCAUGCCCGUCAGACA